GUGCUUACUUUGGCAACACAUAUACUAAAAUUGGAAUAAUACAGAGAUUAGCAUGGCCCCUGUGUAAGGAUGACAUGCAAAUUUGUAAAGCAUUCCGUUUUUUU